CCCCUGCCUACUUGCUCGGAUUCUUCACCCGAGAUGUGCAACAGAUUCCUUCAGUUUUUCAUUGAUAAGGUCUCUACAACUAGGACACCGGUCUCAAAUACCGCAUCUGACCCCUCUGUCCAUGUUCCAUGUUCAGCUGUGCUAAAUUCCUUUGAAACUUUGUCCUUGGCGCUUUUGGAGGAUGUAGUUCGCCAGACGAAGCCAUCUGGCUCCCCUUGCGACUCUCUUCCCCCGCAC